rnacentral:rRNA from 1 species
CCUACGGGAGGCAGCAGUGAGGAAUAUUGGUCAAUGGCCGGAAGGCUGAACCAGCCAUGCCGCGUGAAGGUCAGUGCCCUAUGGGCGUUAAACUUCUUUUGUGCGGGAGCAAUAAUGGUCACGUGUGGCCAGACGAGAGUACCGUACGAAUAAGCCUCGGCUAACUCCGUGCCAGCAGCCGCGGUAAUACGGGGGAUGCAAGCGUUAUCCGGAUUUAUUGGGUUUAAAGGGUGCGUAGGCUGUGAGGUAAGUCAGCGGUGAAAUGCCCCCGCUCAACGGGGUGAAGUGCCAUUGAUACUGCCUGGCUGGAAUGCGGAUGCCGUGGGAGGAAUGUGUGGUGUAGCGGUGAAAUGCAUAGAUAUCACACAGAACACCGAUUGCGAAGGCAUCUCACGAAUCCGCGAUUGACGCUGAUGCACGAAAGCGUGGGUAUCAAACAGGAUUAGAUACCCUUGUAGUC